rnacentral:rRNA from 1 species
CCCUUAGAUGUUCUGGGCCGCACGCGCGCUACACUGAUGCAUUCAACGAGUUUCUUCCUGGUCCGAGAGGAAUGGGUAACCUUUUGAAAGUGCAUCGUGAUAGGGAUAGACUAUUGCAAUUAUUGGUCUUCAACGAGGAAAUCCUAGUAGACGUAGUUCAUCAGACUGCAUCGAUUACGUCCCUGCCCUUUGUACACACCGCCCGUCGCUCCUACCGAUUGAAUGCUCAGGUGAGCCAUUCGGACUUUCAUCAUGCUGGUUUCCAGUUUUGAUGAAGGAAAGUCUUGCGAACCUUAUCAUUUAGAGGAAGGAGAAGUCGUAACA